UACGUAGGGUGCGAGCGUUAAUCGGAUUUACUGGGCGUAAAGCGUGCGCAGGCGGCCCGUUAAGACAGGUGUGAAAUCCCUGGGCUCAACCUAGGAAUUGCGCUUGUGACUGGCGGGCUCGAGUACGGUAGAGGGGGGUGGAAUUCCCGGUGUAGGGGUGAAAUGCGUAGAGAUCAGGAGGAACACCGAUGGCGAAGGCAGCCCCCUGGGCCUGUACUGACGCUCAUGCACGAAAGCGUGGGGAGCAAACAGG
rnacentral:rRNA from 1 species